UCCCCCAACUCGAUGCCAGGUAUCUCCUGCUUAAUUGAUCCGUCUACUAGUCAAGCGACCGUUGCAGAAUGAACAUUACUGUAGUUUAUUAAUUCAUCGCUACAGAUCUCUCGUCUUUGGCCUAUAAAUAGAUUUAAUAUAUAUUGCCAGUCUUCAAUCCCGUACGUAGCCAUUAAAUCCCUCGUCUCCUUGCAGUUGUAGUAUCGUGAGUUCUAGUAAUUCUUAAACCACCAUGGGACUUAAAUGUCAUAAUCCGCACGCUCGCAGCCAUGCAUCCGGC
rnacentral:lncRNA from 1 species